CAAUAGCGUAUAUUAAAGUUGUUGCGGUUAAAAAGCUCGUAGUUGGAGUUCUGCCAGGUGCCGCCUGUCCGCCCCAGUGGUGAGUACGUGGCGCGCAUUUGGCCCUUUCAAGGGGAGCGUAUCUGCACUUUAUUGUGUGGUGCGGGAUCCUUGACUUUUACUUUGAGGAAAUAGGAGUGUUCCAAGCAGGCUCUCGUCGUGCACAGCUCAGCAUGGAAUAAUAGCAUUGGGCCUCGAUUCUAAGCUGUUGGUUGCCAGAAGCGAGGUAAUGAUGAAGAGGGAUAGUUGGGGGCAUUCGUAUUUAACUGUCAGAGGUGAAAUUCUUAGAUUUGUUAAAGACGGACUACUGCGAAAGCAUUUGCCAAGGAUGUUUUCAUUGA
rnacentral:rRNA from 1 species